GGUGAACGCUGGCGGUAGGCCUAAUACAUGCAAGUCGAACGGCCGCACAAUAAGCGCUUGCUCUUACGGGUGGCGGGUGGCGGACGGGUGAGGCAUACAUCGGCAUCUUCUAUUUCGUGGAGGACAACGUAGGGACGCUUCCGCUACUACCUCAUACGAUCUACGGCUUAAUGCAGGGGUUCUUCAGAGUUUGCCUGUUACUUUGAGCCGGUGUCGGAUUAGCUAGUUGGCGAGGUAAAGGCCCACCAAGGCGACGAUCCGUAGCUGGUCUGAGAGGAUGAUCAGCCACACUGGAACUGAGACACGGUCCAGACUCCUACGGGAGGCAGCAGUAGGGAAUAUUGGACAAUGGGCGAAAGCCUGAUCCAGCCAUACCGCGUGAGUGAAGAAGGUCUUCGGAUUGUAAAGCCCUGUUAUUGGGAAAGAAAAGCAGCAGGAGAAUACCCCGCUGUUCUGACGGUACCUAAAGAGAAAGCACCGGCUAACUUCGUG
rnacentral:rRNA from 1 species